ACACAAUCUUAAAAUCUUUCCGCCUUAGACAAUUCUUUCCAAAUACUUCUUUUGUGUUUUUUAACCUAUAAAAGAUAAUGGAAUAUGUUUUAUAGACUGGAUUUUAUCUCGUCUCCUUUCCCUCUCCCAACUGCCCUCAGUUUAAUAGUUGUCAGUUUUACCUCAGUGUUGAAUUUAAUUAUGUAGGAACAAAAUAUUCCUCAGUAAAUUAGCUUGCUAAAUAUUCUGUCACGUUUACUUCCCCUUUGAGAAAUGGCUUAAUUACAGAAAUCUACGU
ensembl:misc_RNA